GCCGGGCAUGGUGGCGCAUGCCUGUAAUCAUAGUAGCUCAGGAGGCUGAGGCAGGAGGAUGGUGAGUUCAAAGCCAGCCUCAA
rnacentral:sRNA from 1 species